rnacentral:lncRNA from 1 species
CUAGAAUAAUCACAUUCAAAUUAAGAGAUGAGGAACAAUUGAAACUAAACUGGUAAAGUUGACUAGUCUUGACACCUGGUUAGUUAAUGAAAAGAGAGAGAGAAGGGGGGAUCAAAGAUAAAAUUAAAGUUCUAAUCUUAGGUCAAGAUGGAUGUUGAAGUGGGUCUGAGGAAGCUGGAUUGAGAAUAGUGCUGCUCUCACCAGAAAACAUGGGGCGGAAGGAUCGUGAAGGAGAGGAAGAAGAGUUUCAAUUUUAAAAUGCCUGAGUUGGAGAUGUGACAAGAUACCUAGCUGUGGAUGUCAGCAGAGAGUUGAAGCUGGUUAAGGUGGGAACAGAAAUUAGGGAUGGAGCUGUACUGUUGGAGAGCAACAGACUUGAUAACUGAAUCUUUAAGUUAGAAACAUUUCCAAGGAGGUGCAAGCUAUGGGAAGAAGAAAAAAAAGAGUCACAGCAACAUUUUCUUUUUUUUUUUGGUACUGGGAUUCAAACUCAGGUCGUUGUGCUUGUGAAGCAGGCAGCAGAACCACUGAGCUAAAUCCCCAGCCCCUAGUCACAGCAACAUUCUUACCACAUCAUCUCCAUGGUGAUAUGGACCAACCGGAAGCCAGGACAAAUGGAGGAAGAGGCUCAGGAAGAAAAUCAGGGAAAGGACUGGCAUUCCUCCAGCCUGACGAGUUCUCAUCCAGGUGCUGCCAUCCGUCCUCUCACCUUCCUCCUGUGGGUCUUAGCUAAGAGGACUCAGAGAACUGACUCAAAGUAAAGUGAUUUAUCCCAGCCCUGCAUAAAUAAAUGUCACUCCAC